rnacentral:rRNA from 1 species
UUCUGGCUACAGAACGAACGCUGGCGGCAGGCCUAACACAUGCAAGUCGAGCGCGCCCUUCGGGGUGAGCGGCGGACGGGUCAGUAACGCGUGGGAACGUACCCUUUGGUAGGGAAUAGCCACUGGAAACGGUGAGUAAUACCCUAUGAGCCCUUCGGGGGGAAAGAUUUAUCGCCAAAGGAUCGGCCCGCGUUAGAUUAGGUAGUUGGUGGGGUAAUGGCCUACCAAGCCUACGAUCUAUAGCUGGUUUUAGAGGAUGAUCAGCAACACUGGGACUGAGACACGGCCCAGACUCCUACGGGAGGCAGCAGUGGGGAAUCUUGGACAAUGGGGGCAAUCCUGAUCCUAAGCCAUGCCGCGUGAGUGAAGAAGGCCUUAGGGUCAUAAAGCUCUUUCGCCUGUGAAGAUAAUGACGGUAGCAGGUAAAGAAACCCCGGCUAACUCCGUGCCAGCAGCUGC